rnacentral:ncRNA from 2 species
CCCUUCUCACCCCGUGGUGGACUGCCGGAGCCAAGUACGGCGGCAUGAGAGGAAGCCGGUGCGAAUCCGGCGCGGUCCCGCCACUGUCAUCGGGGAGGAGACUCCCCGGGAGCCAGGAACUCUCGCCGCCGGUCUCGUCGAACC